rnacentral:rRNA from 1 species
UACGGGGGGGGCAAGCGUUGUUCGGAAUUACUGGGCGUAAAGGGCUCGUAGGCGGCCAACUAAGUCAGACGUGAAAUCCCUCGGCUUAACCGGGGAACUGCGUCUGAUACUGGAUGGCUUGAGUUUGGGAGAGGGACGCGGAAUUCCAGGUGUAGCGGUGAAAUGCGUAGAUAUCUGGAGGAACACCGGUGGCGAAGGCGGCGUCCUGGACCAACACUGACACUGAGGAGCGAAAGCUGGGGGAGCAAACAGG